rnacentral:rRNA from 1 species
CCAGACUCCUACGGGAGGCAGCAGUGGGGAAUAUUGCACAAUGGGGGAAACCCUGAUGCAGCAACGCCGCGUGAGUGAAGAAGUAUUUCGGUAUGUAAAGCUCUAUCAGCAGGGAAGAAGAUGACGGUACCUGAGUAAGAAGCCCCGGCUGACUACGUGCCAGCAGCCGCGGUAAUACGUAGGGGGCAAGCGUUAUCCGGAUUUACUGGGUGUAAAGGGAGCGCAGACGGUGAGACAAGUCUGAAGUGAAAGCCCGGGGCUCAACCCCGGGACUGCUUUGGAAACUGCCUGACUGGAGUGCUGGAGAGGUAAGUGGAAUUCCUAGUGUAGCGGUGAAAUGCGUAGAUAUUAGGAGGAACACCAGUGGCGAAGGCGGCUUACUGGACUGUAACUGACGUUGAGGCUCGAAAGCGUGGGGAGCAAACAGGAUUAGAUACCCGGGUAC